UGGCUCAGAGCGAACGCUGGCGGCAUGCUUAACACAUGCAAGUCGCACGGAUAGCAAUAUCAGUGGCGGACGGGUGAGUAACACGUAGGAAUCUGUCCUGGGGUGGGGGAUAACAGUGGGAAACUACUGCUAAUACCGCAUGAUACCUGAGGGUCAAAGGCGUAAGUCGCCUUGGGAGGAGCCUGCGUCUGAUUAGCUAGUUGGUGGGGUAAAGGCCUACCAAGGCGACGAUCAGUAGCUGGUCUGAGAGGAUGAUCAGCCACAUUGGGACUGAGACACGGCCCAAACUCCUACGGGAGGCAGCAGUGGGGAAUAUUGGACAAUGGGGGAAACCCUGAUCCAGCCAAUGCCGCGUGUGUGAAGAAGGUCUUCGGAUUGUAAAGCACUUUUGGCAGGGACGAUGAUGACGGUACCUGCAGAAUAAGCCCCGGCUAACUUCGUGCCAGCCGCUGC
rnacentral:rRNA from 1 species